ACCUCAUCUAUAUCUACAUCCACAGGGGUUAUUAUUUAGCAGACUGUAGAUUAAAAAAAAAGUAUUUGAUUUUUACAAAAACUGACGAAUAGUCUGCAUUUUAUGGUCAGUGGUCGAAAAAUGUAUGUCAUUGAAAAAGGUUGACAGUCGCCUUGUCGUUUCAUUCGUAGCUUUUUGAUAAAAACAAAAGGCUAAUUGAACCUAAGGAUAGUUCACAUGGGAUGUUCAGUACAUUUGUUUCAAUUGCAGUCAUAUAGCUACUAGAGAUGUAUAUAUAGAGAGGUCCUAGCUAGGCUAAUAAUACCGGAACUUAUAAAGCAAAAAUUUUGAGAAGGUCGUUUCAACAUGUGCAUGCGCGAGAGUUAAAAUCUCUAGCUAAUUAAACUUGCAUUCAACAACCAAUAUGACUGCUGACAAAUUGUUAAUAACUGCAUUGAAAUCUUCAAUGCGCCUGGAAUCUAAAGUUUUAAGUAAAUUGGAAAAAGACGUUGAGUGCUUCCAAGGGUAGAAACGACAAUUAGAGGCGCACGAUUAUCCUUGAACAAUAAAUAUGGAUAUGGGUUUGCGUUUUGACAAAAUGGUGGAUGCACUGCUACUUUAAGUCCCAAUAUUAUAAAUUUGAUAAAAAAUGUAUUUAAUAACAUCCCAAUUGAGAGCUGGAAAAAUUCAGUAAAGCACAUUAUAAAAAUUGAAGACUUACAUUUCUGUAUAUAACAACAUAAAUCAUAUUAUAAUUAAUUCCAAUGAGCACUCCGAUAUUGAAACAGAACUAGAUUUAGACUUUAAAAUACAAAUGAAAUUAUAUAUAGAUAUUCCUAGCUAUGAAUUUAGUGUAUAUAUUUAAAGUCAUUGUUUUUUCUCAGUGUAAUUUAAUAAGAUUAUACCCACCUAAAUAAACAAAAUAAAUAGUGCUAUUUCCAAAACGUUUGAGAGACCGUCCCUACCAUUUAAUUAAUAUUAAUCACCCGAGUUUUAUUGCCGUCGGCAGAUAACUUCCAUAAUUACGGGCAAA